ACCCUCCGGAUUCCUUACCCAUUAGACCCAAACACUGGUCUGAGUGGUUGUAAAAGGAAGAAAAGUAAUAUUGAAACUGACAAAUACUUUUGUGACACGCAAGCUAGUUUAUAAAAUUU